AACCAGAAGGCGCAAUGAAAGUGAAGGCACGGUCGCCGUGCUAAGGUGAGAGCUGUCCAUGGCAGCGCAUCAUCGACCGAUCCCAUCCGCUCCCACGUGGUGCGGCGGGAUUCGAGUAAGAGUGUACCUGUUGCGACCCGAAAGAUGGUGAACUAUGCCUGAAUAGGGUGAAGCCAGAGGAAACUCUGGUGGAGGCCCGUANCGAUUCUGACGUGCAAAUCGAUCGUCAAAUUUGGGUAUAGGGGCGAAAGACNNNUCGANNNNNNNNNNNNNNNNUUCCCUCCGAAGUUUCCCUCAGGAUAGCUGUAGCCCGAAGCAGUUUUAUCAGGUAAAGCGAAUGAUUAGAGGUAUCGGGGAAGAAACUUCCUCGACCUAUUCUCAAACUUUAAAUAGGUAAGAAGUCCGACUUGCUCAAUUUGAAGCCGGACGCAGAAUGCUGGGUUACUAGUGGGCCAUUUUUGGUAAGCAGAACUGGCGAUGCGGGAUGAACCGAACGCCGAGUUAAGGUGCCAAAGUCGACGCUCAUCAGAUCCCACAAA
rnacentral:rRNA from 1 species